CUGCCCGCGCCCCUCCUCGCCCUCGCAGUGCAUGCCGGUCUUGUGCUUGGAGUCGCCAUUUUGCCGCUAGAGAUGCUGUCUGAAGACCAGUGCUCUCUUCCUUCAGCGGCCUAGGCUGCGUCGGGGCCUGAGCUGGGGUCUGGGCCAGGUAGGCUGGCGGGAGCCGGCAGCGAGCGGUGGCGCGGCCCGGUGGCCCCCAGGGCAUGAAAGGUCUCAAAUGUACUGACCUGGACCUGGAACUCGGCUCCCCAAGCAGCAGACAUGUAGUUCUUGAACAGACUGCCCGGAACAUGGUCUGAGUCCUGACAGCGUCAUCACCUGCUAUUUGUAUGUCUCUGGGUCCUUCAAAAGUGGAGAGUACCUGGAAAGGAGAUGGCCCAAGGCUCACCUGUGCAUAAUAUGCCUCUGUACCAGUGACUGACCCUCAGCCAUGGACAAUUUGCCACUCUCAGGAUUUCCUGUCAUGGAGUGACUUUCCGAUCUCCUUUCUGAUGAACAGAACUGCAUCCACCAAGUGUUGGUCACUGGGUGGGAUGGAAGAUCAUCCAUCAGAAUUAUCACAGCCUCUACAGCAGAUCUUCAUGGGGCCAAGGCCACAGCUAACUGCUUGGCAUGGAGCCCCCAUUUCAUCCUCAGUGACCCUAAGCUCUCAAUCCACUCAUUCCCGACCUGUUUGGCACUGUAAACUAGGGUUGAGUGAGGCCCUUGCAUAGGGCGAGGACCUGAAUUCACAGGUGACCAAUUCCCACUGGGCUGCUUAGGUAAGAAUUCCCCUUCUCAGAUUUGGUGCCUAUAGGGUGGAGAGUUUAACCCUGGAGAAGUCCAAGGAGAUGAGGCUGUGCCUGGGGUAUCUAUCCAGAAGGCCAGCUCUUUAGGCUCCUUCAAGCUAUGAGGCCCAUGCUUCCUGUACAGACCUCUACCAGGCUCUCUGCUGCCUGACUUCUGAGACUGUGAGUAGACAUAGAAUUGGUCUCCUGCACAUGGCUUCUCAGGAGGUUUUGGGGCUGAAGCAAAGCCCACACUCAAAUUAGUCCGCAGAGGGUAGUGGUAAUGGGCUCACAGGAGGGCCCCUGCAGAAAAGGGAUUCUCUUAUUAAAACUUACAUUUCACAAGGGAAACUUAGAAAUACUAGCCUGCUCAGAUCCCCUCAAUAGAGAGGUUGAAUAGAAGUCUAUGUAUGAACAAAACCUAUGAGUCCUAAGACAGCCCACCCAUUUUAGGGAUGAGAGAAGGAGGCUCAGUCUGGAUGUCCAGGUGCAGUAAUGAGGCAACUCAGAAUGUUCCCAAGAUUCUGAUGAAAAGUCCCCAGGAAGGAAUUAAGUUCCUCUUCUAUAGCCAUGGAAGGCUGAGCCACUGUGCCCACUGCUCUCUUCUUGUGCUCAUUUAGCCCAGAGGCUCCUGCAAAAGCACCUGCAGUGCAGGAAAAAUCCCAUGAGACAAGUGCCAGAGAAGUGGACAGAGCGGACUGACAUUUGAGGUGAGCACACAUCUGGUGAGGUGAUGCUGUGUAAGAGCUGGGGACAGUGGAGGAAGACAUCUUGCUAGUGGUCCUUGGACACCAGGCCCAGUACAGAAAAUGAGGUACAAUGGUAGAAUUCAUUCAUGAUAAAAAAUGAAAUGAUUUUGUGUCUGUUCCCUUUCUCCUCUUCCAUCAAUAUGUGUGCAGUGACCUUGCCUGUGACAAGGUAGAGGCUUAGUAGAGAGGAUAUGUUAGUUGAGCAAUUGCAGUCCAGAUUCCUUUGGAGCAAGACAAUGGGCCCAGUGUUUGACAAGCCCUGAAUAGAGGCGUUGGAAGGGUUAAUCAGAUGCAAAGUUCCUCUUAGUCAUGUGUGGGCCUCCAUACAUUCCUUUCUGCUCAUAUUCUCUGCACUGGAGCCAAUACCUCCUGUUAUUGUGGUCCCCAUCUCUGGAGCAGGGAUGUGGCACACAGGGCCCAGGGUCCACCUCCAUGCCAAGGUCCUGCAUGCAGCAUGGUUGGGGCAGUGCCCAGCAGCCAACAGGAAGCCUGAGACUCUGAGACACCACAGGUUUCACUUUGUGAACCCAGAUAACCUUAUGUUCUGCAAAGACUAACAGCUCUGUCCCAGACUUCUACCCAGGAGGACAAGAGAUGACUCUGGAGGCUCUGGAUAAGCAUCAGUGCUGCCCUUCUCCUCCUGCUAGCCCUGUCCUGGGUAGGAACAUGACAGGAGCUCAGGCUCACACUUUCCAACACCUGCCCCUGCCCCAGAGCAGCUGCCCUCACUGCCUGUCCUCAGAGCCCUUACACUGAUGAUUUAGGAUGGGAAUUGUUUAGAAGAAUUCACAGAGGUAGCCAUGCCUUAAUGUGCUGUCCUCUAGUUGGUGUCUCUGAGUGGCUGGUGGCUGAGCCUAGGGACUCCUAUCCUGGGCUCCCACUUGUUUCCAGUGUCUUGGGAGUUGGGGCUCUUGGGCCCUGCCCUGUGCUGCCCUUGAUUUUAGGCAGUUCCCUCUGAGCUUCCUGAAACAUCUUGGCCCAGUGAACCAUCCUUUCACUCAUUCACAUGUGGUUUUCCCAUGCAGGGUCAAGACACUGGGACUUCAAAGCCUCAAAAAGCAGCACAGCAUAUUCACUGGUUACUCUCAUGAGCCAAGUGCUGGUGAAGGUCAGCUGCCACCAGACAAAAUUGCCUGGUGACCAGAAGCUUCAAAGUUCUGUUUAGACCUGUUGCCAAGGAAGUUGUGUCAUGUGCUGGGGUCCAUAGCUGGGCUGCCCCCUCUGAUGCCUCCUUUUUUUUUUUUAUUGUGGAACAAAUUUAUGUUCCUUAGAAAUCGAAAGUGAAAAACUAGAAAGCAGAAUGUGGCUUUAUACUUUUCUUCACUUUGAAAUAUUUCAUACAACAAACAUCUAGAUGCUUCAGAAGUGGCAGGCUGGGAGCCAAGUGCACAUUUCCAUCCAAAAAGUUUUUUUUCAUUGAGAAUUAGGCUUCACUUAGAGAUCUGUCAAAUUUUAGGAUGAGUUUCUUUCCUUGGCUUAUGUUAGUUUCAUUUCAAAUCCAUUAGGGAGUAUGGAGAUGUUCCCAGAAUAACCAUAAUAAUUUUCUUUGAAGUAUGUGAAUGUUUCAUGUUAUAACCUCCUCCUGUCCAGGGGAUGAGGAUUCCUAAGAAGUUUUACUCUCAUGUGCCUAUGAGUGAUUACUUAUUCAUCCUUAGAUAUUUAACUCAGCCACACACUGUAGCUCCAUACUCUGACAUCCAGUGGAGGGGAGAGCAGGUGGUGAUUGCAAGGGGAGGCUUUCCAAGGCCAUGGACAUCAUCACCCCAUGCUGAGGAAGGACACAUGCACAUCACUCCUGGGGAACUUGUCUCAUAGCCACUGAUAUCACUUCCAGUCCUCCAUUCCCAAACAGACCAUGGGCUUUGUGUCCCUCCUGGGUAGUUUGCCUUUCCUAGAGGUGAUGGCCCUGAGGCUGAUCAGGCAAAAUGCUCUCUGUUUGGUCUCCUUCAAGCAGUGUCUCCAUCCUGGUCUCCCCAGUGUGCUGCCACCACAUGCCAUUGCAGGGCUGAACAAAACCAGCUGUCACUUGUUCAAGCAUCUGUCACCCAUCUGCCGAUGUCCAUUUCUUCUGUUUCUGUCUCAACCCUUGAAAGCAAGCUGCCACAGCCAAUCUUAUACAUGAGCUUGAGUGGAUGCAGUCUUUCAUUUUAAAGAAAAACAACUUAAAUGUGAAAUUAAUGGAUUAUAUUACUAGUUUAUGGCUAACUAGAAAUUAAAGGAUUAUAUUACUAGUUUAUGGCUAACUAGAAAUUCUUAAAGUAUCUUUGGAAGCAGUUGUUUAAAGCAGAGUUAGGUGGUUCCUUUUCAUUUUGUUUUAUUAUGGUAUACUGCGCUACGCUUUAUUAUGUUACAUUGUGUUAUAUGUUGCCGAGGAUUUUGAAACUGUAUUUUCUGUGGUUUCUGAUUUGAUUUUGUAUAUUCAAUCUGAGAAAAUAUAAGAAUAUCACAUAACUCUGAGUAAGUUUGUUUGGAGAAAAUUUUAAAAGGAAAACACAGUCGGUGAUGUUGGUACACACCUGUCAUUUCAGUUCUCAGAGGUUGAGGCAGGGGGAUUGUUGUAAUUUUGAGGUCAUCUGGGGUUAAAAGGGAAGAUCAAGUCCAGCUUCAACUGUUUAGCAAAACCCAAUCUCAAAAAAAGAAUGAAAGAGUAAAAGAAAGAAAGAAAGAAAAGAAGAAAAAAAUUAAAAAGUUUAAAAAUACAAAGUCAAAUAUCACCUGUGAAUUCAGAAUAAAAACAUAUGUGAGUUUUUCUUGCAAAUGUACUUUAGUCAGCACACCUAGCAUAAGGUUUACCAUCAUGUAGACAUUGAUGUGCUGCCAGGUUUGCAUUAUUUCAGUUCUUUGAAUAUUUUACAGAGAUGACUGCAGAUAUGCUACUGAAUAUACUUUCUUAGGAUUUGUGUAGCUCAGUGUGAAGAGAAUGUGAUCAUUGCUUUUUUUCCUCUCCUAAAUUUAUAUUUAGAAUCAGAAGUUGAUCAAGGGAUUAGUAUUUUUUGAAAUAAUAAUAAGGACCAUAUAAAAGAUACUCUUUUAAGUCUAUGGAAAAUAAAAAUAAUUGUAGAAUAAGAGUGGUUAAUGUACCUUGCACAGUGAUUUCUAGGAUUACUUAAUGAUCAAUAAUUUCAUACAUAUGUAAAAUUUUGUUUUUAAACAUUUUAAGACAUAGUCUUAGCAGUUUUCUGAGUUUCCCAUGCUAGGGUUAAACCCUUCAGCAUCCUUCUUCACGCUGUCAGAGGGCUGGGAUUACAGGUGUACAUUAUUCUGAGUCGGCAAUUGGCAAACAAUUUUGCAUAUUCGUGGAAUAAAAUAUUUGACUUUGAUCUUUAGACUUUGUAGAAAGAAUCCAUCUAGUUAAGCUAUCUACCACCUUCCUAAUUUGCAGUUUCUUUUACAA